rnacentral:rRNA from 1 species
CACACGACUCUCGGCAACGGAUAUCUCGGCUCUCGCAUCGAUGAAGAACGUAGCAAAAUGCGAUACGUGGUGUGAAUUGCAGAAUCCCGCGAACCAUCGAGUUUUUGAACGCAAGUUGCGCCCGAGGCCUUCUGGCCGAGGGCACGUCUGCCUGGGCGUCACG